ensembl:lncRNA
CUGUAACAGAAGUCAUGUUCCCUAAAAUCUUACAAGGAAAAGAAGACAGAAGGCACCUGAAUAUGAAGCCUGUGUAGGAUUCCCUUCUAAACUGAUGGAUGUUCAAAGGAAACAACCUGACUGGUGCCGUAGAGGAGGAAUAACUCUGCUGUCAUGCAUUUAUGCACAAUAACAAGGAAGAGCCAACAAAGGUGUUUUGAGGGACUGAGGCACUUAGUGAGAUGGUCUGAACAAACUGAAACGAGGAAUUAGGAGUCAAACUCCGAAGCCAGAGUUCAGGAGCCAGAGCCAAGGGCAGGAGGAAGAGCUGUCCUGUCCACCGCUGUAUUGGAGAUGUAGAUCACACAAGGAAAUCUGCAGGAAAGGCCUAAGCAGGCUCUUCCACCCUAUCCUCCAUCCCUGGAUGCUAUGGAGCUGUGCUAUGAAUAAGGCUUUUUGAGCUGUGUUGAAUGCUUUUGUUUAAUGAACUUGAAUAAAAUAUGAGGUUGUGUUUGCCCUAGUCUGAGCAUGAGCAGAA